rnacentral:rRNA from 1 species
UACGUAGGGAGCAAGCGUUGUCCGGAAUCAUUGGGCGUAAGCGCGCGUAGGUGGCUUCGUAAGUCCGCUCUGAAAGCCCAGGGCUCAACCCUGGGAGGCGGGUGGAUACUACGGAACUGGAGUACGGAAGAGGAGAUUGGAAUUCCUGGUGUAGCGGUGAAAUGCGCAGAUAUCAGGAGGAACACCAACAGCGAAGGCAGAUCUCUGGGACGUUACUGACGCUGAGACGCGAAAGCGUGGGGAGCAAACAGG